UGCGGCAUGCCUUACACAUGCAAGGUCGAACGGGCACGCACGGGAGCAAUCCUGGUGGCGAGUGGCGAACGGGUGAGUAAUAUAUCGGAACGUGCCCGGUCGUGGGGGAUAACGUAGCGAAAGCUACGCUAAUACCGCAUACGAUCUACGGAUGAAAGCGGGGGAUCGCAAGACCUCGCGCGAUUGGAGCGGCCGAUAUCAGAUUAGGUAGUUGGUGAGGUAAAGGCUCACCAAGCCGACGAUCUGUAGCUGGUCUGAGAGGACGACCAGCCACACUGGGACUGAGACACGGCCCAGACUCCUACGGGAGGCAGCAGUGGGGAAUUUUGGACAAUGGGCGCAGGCCUGAUCCAGCAAUGCCGCGUGCAGGAUGAAGGCCUUCGGGUUGUAAACUGCUUUUGUACGGAACGAAACGGUGAGCUCUAAUACAGUUUGCUAAUGACGGUACCGUAAGAAUAAGCACCGGCUAACUACGUG
rnacentral:rRNA from 1 species